rnacentral:rRNA from 1 species
GUGUGUGCCUGGAAAAUCCUCUAAGGAGAGCAAUCGUACCCGUACCAUAAACCGACACAGGUGGACGAGAUGAGUAUUCUAAGGCGCUCGGGUGAUGGAGUUGCGAAGGAACUAGGCAAAUUAACCCCGUAACUUCGGGAGAAGGGGUGCCCACUUCGGUGGGCCGCAGUGAAACGCGUCAGGCGACUGUUUAACAAAAACACAGGUCUCUGCAAAGUCUAAAACGACGUAUAGGGGCUGACGCCUGCCCGGUGCCGGAAGGUUAAAAGGAGAGGUUAGCCGCAAGGCGAAGCUUUGAAUUGAAGCCCCGGUGAACGGCGGCCGUAACAAUAACGGUCCUAAGGUAGCGAAAUUCCUUGUCGGGUAAGUUCCGACCUGCACGAAUGGCGUAACGAUCUGACGACUGUCGGCGCGCUCCGCCCGGCGAACUUGUGGUUCCGGUGAAGACGCCGGAUGCCCGCCACUAGACGGAAAGACCCCGUGCACCUUUACUAUACCUUUGCAAUGAACUAUGGUGCGUUCUGCGCAGCAUAGGUGGGAGGCUUUGAACUCAGGCUCUUGGGCUUGAGGGAGCCAACGGUGAGAUACCACCCUGAUCGUUCUGUGGUUCUAACCUACUCCCGUUAUCCGGGAGAGGGACAUUGCAAGGCGGGUAGUUUGACUGGGGCGGUCGCCUCCUAAACUGUAACGGAGGCGCUCGAAGCUUGGUUCACUCUGUUUGGAAAUCAGAGGUCGAGUGCAAAGGCAUAAACCAGGUUGACUGCGAGACCUACAAGUCAAGCAGGUGGGAAACCAGGACUUAGUGAUCCGGUGGUUCUGUAUGGAAGGGCCAUCGCUCAACGGAUAAAAGGUACGCCGGGGAUAACAGGCUGAUCGGAGUCAAGAGUUCAUAUCGACGCUCCGGUUUGGCACCUCGAUGUCGGUUCAUCGCAUCCUGGGGGUGUAGAAGCUCCCAAGGGUUGGGCUGUUCGCCCAUUAAAGCGGUACGUGAACUGGGUUCAGAACGUCGCGAGACAGUUCGGUCCCUAUCUGUGGUGGGCGCAGGAGAUUUGAGGGGGCUUGUCCUAGUACGAGAGGACCGGGAUGAACAGACCUCUUGUGAUUCAGUUGUCACACCCGUGGCACAGCUGAGUAGCGAAGUCUGGUCAGGAUAAGUGCUGAAUGCAUAUAAGUACGAAACCUUCCCCAAGAUGAGAUCUCCCUGAAGAGCCGUGAAAGACUAUCACGUUGAUAGGACGGAUGUGUAAGCGCAGUAAUGCGUUGAGCUUACCGUUACUAAUAGCUCGUUCGGCUUGACC